UACAGGGGGUGCAAACGUUGCUCGGAAUUACUGGGCGUAAAGGGCGCGUGGGCGGGAUGGCAAGUCGGUCGUGAAAUCCCUCGGCUCAACUGAGGAUCGUCGAUCGAUACUGCCGUUCUUGAGGAUUGCAGAGGAGACUGGAAUUCCCGGUGUAGCGGUGAAAUGUGUAGAGAUCGGGAGGAACACCGGUGGCGAAGGCGGGUCUCUGGGCAAUUCCUGACGCUGAGGCGCGAAAGCGUGGGGAGCAAACGGG
rnacentral:rRNA from 1 species